rnacentral:rRNA from 1 species
AAGUCGUAACAAGGUCUCCGUUGGUGAACCAGCGGAGGGAUCAUUACUGAGUACUACACUCUCUACCCUUUGUGAACUAUUAUACCUGUUGCUUCGGCGGCGCCCGCAAGGGUGCCCGCCGGUCUCAUCAGAAUCUCUGUUUUCGAACCCGACGAUACUUCUGAGUGUUCUUAGCGAACUGUCAAAACUUUUAACAACGGAUCUCUUGGCUCCAGCAUCGAUGAAGAACGCAGCGAAACGCGAUAUGUAAUGUGAAUUGCAGAAUUCAGUGAAUCAUCGAAUCUUUGAACGCACAUGGCGCCUUCCAGUAUCCUGGGAGGCAUGCCUGUCCGAGCGUCGUUUCAACCCUCGAGCCCCUGUGGCCCGGCGUUGGGGAUCUGCCACGGCAGGCCCCUAAAACCAGUGGCGGACCCGAAGGGCCUCUCCUUUGCGCAGUAGCAUUCGCCUCGCAUCGGGAGUCCUCGGCGUCCUGCCUCUAAACCCCCACAAGCCCGCUUCGGCGGCACCAAGGUUGACCUCGGAUCAGGUAGGAAUACCCGCUGAACUUAA